rnacentral:rRNA from 1 species
UACGGAGGGUGCAAGCGAUAUCCGGAUUCACUGGGCUUAAAGGGCGCGUAGGCGGGCCAGCAUGUCCGGGGUGAAAUCUUUCGGCUUAACCGGAAAAGGGCUUCGGAAACGGCUGGCCUCGAGGGAGGUAGGGGCAGGUGGAACUUCCGGUGGAGCGGUGAAAUGCGUUGAUAUCGGAAGAAACGCCGGUGGCGAAAGCGGCCUGCUGGACCUCUACUGACGCUGAGGCGCGAAAGCCAGGGGAGCAAACGGG